rnacentral:rRNA from 1 species
CGCAGGCUGUCUGUCAAGUCGGAUUUGAAAUCCCUGGGCUCAACCUGGGAACUGCAUUCGAAACUGGCAGGCUUGAGUCUUGUAGCGGGGGGUAGAUUUUCAGGUGUAGCGGUCAAUUGCGUAGAGAUCUGGAGGAAUACCUGUGGCGAAGUCGGCCCCCUGGACAAAGACUUACGCUCUGGUUCGAAAGCGUGGGGAGCAAACAUGAUUAGAUACUCUGGUAGUCCACG